GCCACGUACGCAUCACGUUACGAAGAUGUAUUUUUAAGUUUGAAUCCGAAAAGACCAAAAAUGUCAUACGGACCGGCUGCAAAAUACAUGAAAAAGUCAAAGACAUUUGUAAGUAAGUGGGUGAAACAUUAUUUCGAUGUGAAAAACGUCGAUAACCUGCCAGAUCGUGGUUCCGCUUAAGUAGUAACAACGAAAAAGGAGGACAAAGUGAUUUUAUGGAUAUUAAAGAAGAAUCUUAGUCUAUCAUUGGGUGGAAGGCAAACGAUUUUGCGUAAAAAGGGUCUAAAUGUGUCAUGUGACACUAUAAGAAGACAUUUAUUGGCCCAUGAAGUAAAAUUUCGAAGCAUUGAAGAAAUCGCUAAUGUCUAAAAAAACACGUCGAAAAAAGACUCAUUUGGGCGAAAGACAAUUUGGAUCGCAAUUGGAGUCAGACUGUAAAAGGAGCGAGAUCAGCCGGAGAGAUCGCUUUUCCUGAUCCAGAAAGCCUCCGAACCAGAACCUAGAGAACGAGCAAAAGUAAAGAGAUCUUUUGCUUCGACCAAGCGCUUUCGGUCUUGUCUCAUCUCAUCUGAAUACUCCGAUUAUAAGCUAAAUCUCUAAAUAGUUCCUAAUAAACAAUUAAUUGUUACUUUACCAAUCUCAGUUUUAAUUUAACUGCGACCCUUCUUUCGAAACCACGAGUUAGUCCGUGCUAGGAUAACAUGGGUUGUUACAAUUCUAUGGCUAAUAAACUGGGGUUGGUUAGAA
rnacentral:lncRNA from 13 species